AGUGAACGCUGGCGGUAGGCCUAACACAUGCAAGUCGAACGGCAGCACAGUAAGAGCUUGCCCUUACGGGUGGCGAGUGGCGGACGGGUGAGGAAUACAUCGGCAUCUACUUUUUCGUGGGGGAUAACGUAGGGAAACUUACGCUAAUACCGCAUACGACCUACGGGUGAAAGCGGGGGAUCUUCGCACCUUGCGCGACUGAAUGAGCCGAUGUCGGAUUAGCUAGUUGGCGGGGUAAAGGCACACCAAGGCGACGAUCCGUAGCUGGUCUGAGAGGAUGAUCAGCCACACUGGAACUGAGACACGGUCCAGACUCCUACGGGAGGCAGCAGUGGGGAAUAUUGGACAAUGGGCGCAAGCCUGAUCCAGCCAUACCGCGUGAGUGAAGAAGGCCUUCGGGUUGUAAAGCCCUUUUGUUGGGAAAGAAAAGCAGCAGGUUAAUCCCCCGCUGUUCUGACGGUACCCAAAGAAUAAGCACCGGCUAACUUCGUG
rnacentral:rRNA from 1 species